AGUUCGAUCAUGGCUCAGAUUGAACGCUGGCGGGGAUGCUUUACACAUGCAAGUCGAACGGCAGCACGGACUUCGGUCUGGUGGCGAGUGGCGAACGGGUGAGUAAUGUAUCGGAACGUGCCUAGUAGCGGGGGGAUAACUACGCGAAAGCGUAGCUAAUACCGCAUACGCCCUUCGGGGAAAGCGGGGGACCUUCGGGCCUCGCAUAAUGGGAAGCGGCCGAUAUCGGAUUAGCUAGUUGGUGGAAUAACGGCUCACCAAGGCGACGAUCCGUAGCUGGUUUGAGAGGACGACCAGCCGCACAGGACUGAGACACGGCCCAGACUCCUACGGGGAGAACGCGGUGGGAAUUUUGGACAAUGGGGAAACCUGAUCCAGCCAUCCCGCGUGUGCGAUGAAGGCCUUCGGGUUGUAAAGCACUUUGGCAGGGAAGAAAGAGCGGCACGGGAUAAUACCCCGUGCAACUGACGGUACACCUGCAGAAUAGGCACCGGCUAACCGUGCCAGCAGCCGCGGUAAUACGUAGGGUGCAAGCGUUAAUCAGGUCACUGGGCGUAAAGCGUGCGCAGGCGGUUCGGAAGAAGAUGUGAAAUCCCAGAGCUUAACUUUGGAACUGCAUCUUUAACUACCGAGAACUAGGGUGUCAUCAGAGGGGUGGAAUUCCGCGUGUAUAGUGAAAUGCGUAGAUAUGCGGAGGGAACACCGAUGGCGAAGGCAGCCUCCUGGGGGAUAACACUGACGCUCAUGCACGAAAGCGUAGAGCAAACAGGAUUAGAUACCUGGUAGUCCACGCCCUAAACGAUGUCAACUAGCUGUUCAGGGCCUUCGGGCCUUGGUAGCGCAGCUAACGCGUGAGAUUGACCGCCUGGGGUACGGUCGCAAGAUUAAAACUCAAAGGAAUUGACGGGGACCCGCACAAGCGGUGGAUGAUGUGGAUUAAUUCGAUGCAACGCGAAAAACCUUACCUACCCUUGACAUGUCUGGAAUCCGAAGAGAGAUUUGGGAGUGCUCGCAAGAGAACCGGAACACAGGUGCUGCAUGGCUGUCGUCAGCUCGUGUCGUGAAGAUGUUGGGUUAGAAUUUGUAGGCGCAACCCUUGUCAUUAGUUGCUACGAAGGGCACUCUAAUGAGACUGCCAGUAACAAACCGGAGGAAAAUUGGGGAUGACGAUUAAGUCCUCAUGGCCCUUAUGGGUAGGGGGCUUCACACGUCAUACAAUGGUCGGGACAGAGGGUCGCCAACCCGCGAGGAGCCAAUCCCAGAAACCCGAUCGUAGUCCGGAUCGCAGUCUGCAACUCGACUGCGUGAAGUCGGAAUCGCUAGUAAUCGCGGAUCAGCAUGUCGCGGUGAAUACGUUCCCGGGUCUUGUACACGCCCGUCACACCGUAAAGUGGGUUUUACCAGAAAGUAGUUAGCCUGACAGCGCCGUAAGGAGGCGAUUACCACGGUAGGAUUCAUGACUGGGGUGAAGUCGUAACAAGGUAG
rnacentral:rRNA from 1 species